rnacentral:rRNA from 1 species
GACGAACCGUGCGAACGUUGUCCGGAAUCAUUGGGCGUAAAGAGCGUGUAGGCGGCCUGGUAAGUCCGCUGUGAAAGUCCAGGGCUCAACCCUGGAAUGCCGGUGGAAACUGUCAGGCUCGAGUCCGGAAGAGGCGAGUGGAAUUCCUGGUGUAGCGGUGAAAUGCGCAGAUAUCGGGAGGAACACCGGUGGCGAAGGCGGUUCUCUGGGCCUUACCUGACGCUGAGGAGCGAAAGCGUGGGGAGCGAACAGG